UCAUCAUUUUGUUGUUGUUUUUUAUCUCCGGUCUAGACAGGCUAGACUUAGAUUUAGUAUCUUCAUACGGUAUAUGUAUUUUAUACAUCACCUAAUAACAAUUUUAACAACCAAUAGAUAGAUCUAUAGAUAUAUAUAUAGUAAUCCGGUCUUAAUAGAAGAUCGUUACGGUUUUCAUUCAUACAUGCCAUUGUAUGUGUAUUUGUUUGAUAGAACUACACAUAUUUAUAAGAACUGAUCGUUACAAAAUGUAUUGGCAAACAAGGUUAAAAUUUGUCUUUGGAAAAAUCGUCCCGACGUGGUCAGAAAGAGUUAUCCCCCUUGGCCGGCAUAGCGAUCGGUUUUCGAUCAAACAUUUAUCGAUACUGAGAUGGAGAACGUCAACGUGCCUGCUGACCCUGCACAUGACGCAUGGUAUCCAAGUGGGCUGUGUCCUGCCACAUUCAGGAAAUUUGAGGUGCAACCCUUGUAGGAAAUCAGUUUAAAGUAGACCCAGUGAGAUGGGCUGGGCUGAAGGGAAAAUAAUAUGGUUCAAGGACUGUGAGACAGACAGGGAUGCAACUCUGCCCAGCAAAUUGAGGUGGCUUCUUGGAUGACUGUAUUACCUGUGCCUUCUAUGGCCUUAAACUUUCACAUACCUUAUGAAGUUUGUUUGUGUUUUCAAUAUCUUCUCUGAAAAUCAUAUUUUCAAUAAGCUGAGAUUUUGUGUAUUUGAUCCCACUAACAUGAUGCCAAUACAACUUCAAGCUGUCAAGACAUGGCAACCAUAUUGAACAUAUACUUUUCACCCUUUAGAAAGCCACUUCUGCAUUUACAUUAUGAAAUUUGAUAUACAGUAAUUAUUUAGUAAACCCAAACACAGUGUCAUAUUUUGCAAGUUUUUCUUAUAUUUGGAACUGCAACAUUUUGUCUUCAUGUGCUGCUGCAGCAGUCAUGAUGAAUGUGUUCUUUUGACUCGUUUCAUUACCAAUUAUUAUCCCCCACAACAUGUUUUGCGGGGGUAUUAAAAUGGACAUGGUCAGUCCUUGCAUUCAUACUUCUGUGUAAGAUUUUGAAAAAACGUUUACUAUUUUCUUCACCAAUCAUGGUACAUGGAUAGGCCUAGUGGUGACCUGGUGCCUGUUGAUAGUUUUGGAUUUUUGUAAAAUGUAUCUUUUUAGUUUCCAUGGCAACAACUUUGACUGAAAUAGGAGGGUAGUGAUCGUUCUUGGAACAUACCUUAAAAAUCUACAAUAUUUCUUCACCAAACUUGACACACAGAUCGGUCUAGUGGUGAACUGGUGCCUUUUAAUAGUUUAGGAUUUUUUUUAAAUUAAUAUUUUGAGAUGCCACAACUUUGACUCAUACUGAAAAUGAGGGUAGUGCUCCUUUCUAUGCAGAUUAAUUUUUUUUUACAAUAUUUCCUUAACAAGCAUGGCACAUAGAUAGGUCUAGUGUUGAACUGGUGCCUUUUGAUAAUUUGGGAUAUUUAGUUUCCAUAGCAAGUAUUUAAUAUUUAGAGGAUAAUGGUGAAUUUGUCUUCUUGCAUAUACUGUCAUCCUUUUAAUUGGUCAAGAUGCUGUGAGAAAGUCUGUUCUGUAGAUAAAUAGUUUUGUUUCUUUUGCUUAUUUAUUAUACCUUUGUAUUGCCUUUUUGUUGUAAUAAUAUAUUCCGUGAAAAAGUACAGGGAAGCUACAGAGCCAUUUUAACACCUAUACCCAGGGAAGUUUGUUCGAACAGUAUUUCUGUCAGUCAUGUGUGAGGACAGCCAAAAGGUAAUGAAGGGAAAAAUUAUUACAUCAGAGCUACAGAUAAGCAGCGUAUUUGUGUAAAAUACCCCCCAAAAUUAUUUAAAACCCAAUUACUUUCCAUUAACUUGUGUACAGAAACGCAUGCAUUAAAUGAAAAACUCAAAUUAUUAAAACAGCUCGCGUAAAUGCCCAAUGAAGCUUUUUCAGCAUGCAUACAAAGGAGCUAAUUUCUGAAACACAAUUACAAGCUUAUUUACUUUCUCAGUCAAACCUAUGUAUUUAGAACAUUAUUUCAUUUUUUUGAAAUCUGAAAAUGUUCACUAAUUUUGGGAAAGACCCAAGAGAGUGAUGAAACGAUGAGUGAAAAAAUAUUGGUUACCCAAUGAAAAAUGUAAUAACCCAAUUAAAAUAGAAACCCUAGAGUAAAAACUGAAUUGCUCAAAAAGUUAUCUGGAGCUCUGUUACAUGAGUCAGUUUAAUGGCACCAAUACAAUGGGCACAUCUGGCCUCCAUUAGGUUGAAUCUGGUAAACUGUGUCUGUGAUUUUUUGGGGUGACGACAUUGCAGCCAUAUUGAAUGUUAUUUUGACCAGGUACUCAUGUAUCAUGGUGUUAUUCAUUUAACAGGCUGUAAUACUAUAUUUCAAUCUCCAAUGUGCUAUGUUUCAGUGAUCAUAUGUUCCAUUUGGUCAUGCCAUCAUCUUUCACCUUUUUGUGUCCUAAUAAUGGAAUGUACCAGUUUCACUGUCCAGUUACAAGAAGCCUGGUGCAAAUAACUUGUUUGGUCCAGUUGCACCCAACAAAGGGCAACUACCAUGCUGUAAUGAAACUUGAUGGUAUCAGUUUACACCAACGCUAAACUACAUAUACAGCUCCCAAUACAGUGUGCUUUGAGAAGGGAGAGCAACUAUGCCCUGUACGUUUCUGGAAAGAAGAAGUGUUGAGAAGAAGAGUUCUGUGUUGAAGUCAGCAUUGGCAUCCUGAGUAGUGAAAAGAUCAGCAGGGAGUAGCAUCAGUUCGCUACUGUGUGGAGGGACAGUGUUUCUCCCUAUACUCAUGGACAGUACUGUACAUCUAAACAUAUGAUUCAUAUUAUAAAUUGUUUCAUAAUGUGAGGUGGGUUUUUUUCAUUCAUAAUAUCAAUUAUCAUAUAUGGUGAAUUUAGCAUCUUACAAAUAUACUGUGCAUGGAAUUUCUUCACUUACACUGUUUUCAGCAUUUUGAGGCAAAACUCUUUUCAUGUGUUACAUUUAUGUUUAUUGUUUCCUCAACAAUAAAGAACUAGCAAAAUGA